UAGGGAAUAUUGCACAAUGGAGGAAACUCUGAUGCAGCCAUGCCGCGUGUGUGAAGAAGGCCUUCGGGUUGUAAAGCACUUUCGGAGGGGAGGAAAAAUAGACGUUACCCUCAGAAGAAGCACCGGCUAACUACGUGCCAGCAGCCGCGGUAAUACGUAGGGGGCAAGCGUUAUCCGGAUUUACUGGGUGUAAAGGGAGCGUAGACGGAACGGCAAGUUUGAAGUGAAAUACCUGGGCUUAACCCGGGAACUGCUUUGAAAACUGUCGAUCUAGAGUGUCGGAGAGGUAAGUGGAAUUCCUGGUGUAGUAGUGAAAUGCGUAGAUAUCAGGAAGAACACCGGAGGCGAAGGCGGCUUACUGGACGAUAACUGACGUUGAGGCUCGAAAGCGUGGGGAGCAAACAGGAUUAGAUACCCUGGUAGU
rnacentral:rRNA from 1 species